GAAUGCAGUCGAGGGGAUACAGUGNAACGACUGUAUACGAUACGCCUACGGGAAGCGGACUUCGGGCUGCGCAUGAUUGCCGUGGAUACUAUUAGUGGUAACGUCACUAGGAGAUCCUACUGGUCUGAAAGAUACACAAUGACUGAAACCGUCAAACUCUACGGAGGCACAGUGGGGAAUAUUGCCCAAUGGGCGCAAGCCUGAUGCAGCCAUGCCGGUGUAUAAAGAAGGCUUCGGGUGUAAAGUACUUCAGCGGGGAGGAAGGUGUUGGGUUAAUAACACAGAAUUGAGUUACCGAGAAGAAGCAACCGGUUAACUCGUGCCAAGCAGCCGGGUAAUACGGAGGGUGCACCGUAUUCGGAAUUACUGGCGUUAAGCGCCACGCAGGCGGUCUGUCAAAGUUCGGAUGUGAAAUCCCCGGGCUCCAAACCCUGGGAAAAACUGGGAUUCCCGAAAACUGGGAAAGGCUUAAAAAGUCCUUGUACAGGGGGGGGGUUACAAAAUUCCCCAGGGUGGUUAAGCCGGGUCGAAAAUUGCCGUCAAAGAAUACUGGAAAGGAAANUUACACCGGUUGGCGAAUGGGCGGCCCCCCCCUUGGUC
rnacentral:rRNA from 1 species